UACGUAGGGCGCAAGCGUUAUCCGGAAUUAUUGGGCGUAAAGAGCUCGUAGGCGGUUUGUCGCGUCUGCCGUGAAAGUCCGGGGCUCAACUCCGGAUCUGCGGUGGGUACGGGCGGACUUGAGUGUUGCAGGGGAGACUGGAAUUCCUGGUGUAGCGGUGAAAUGCGCAGAUAUCAGGAGGAACACCGGUGGCGAAGGCGGGUCUCUGGGCAGUUGCUGACACUGAGGCGCGACAGCGUGGGGAGCAAACAGG
rnacentral:rRNA from 1 species